rnacentral:rRNA from 1 species
UUUCCUAGGGGGGCAGCAGUGAGGAAUAUUGGUCAAUGGGCGGAAGCCUGAACCAGCCAAGUCGCGUGAGGGAAUAAGGCCCUACGGGUCGUAAACCUCUUUUGCCGGGGAGCAAGGGCCGGGACGAGUCCCGGUCCGGAGAGUACCCGGAGAAAAAGCAUCGGCUAACUCCGUGCCAGCAGCCGCGGUAAUACGGAGGAUGCGAGCGUUAUCCGGAUUUAUUGGGUUUAAAGGGUGCGUAGGCGGGCUUUUAAGUCAGCGGUAAAAAUUCGGGGCUCAACACCGUCCGGCCGUU